rnacentral:rRNA from 1 species
UGGCGGACGGGUGAGUAACGCGUGAGAAUCUGGCUUUAGGUUCGGGACAACCACUGGAAACGGUGGCUAAUACCGGAUGUGCCGAAAGGUAAAAGGUUUACCGCCUGAAGAUGAGCUGCGUCUGAUUAGCUAGUUGGUGUGGUAAGAGCGCACCAAGGCGACGAUCAGUAGCUGGUCUGAGAGGAUGAUCAGCCACACUGGGACUGAGACACGGCCCAG